GUAAACACAACGGUCAUUGGAAUUUCAAGGCUCUUGGAAUUUCUAGACGUAGACGGCUCUGGGGCAGUCACUGCAAUCAAGGCACUGGACGAUCAUCUUCUACCAGGAGGUACUGAAUUGCUCAAGAUCCUUGCAAGAUUCACCAGUGAAACUCAAUGGCUUUGACGUCAGUAACUAGGGUGGUGGUACUUGCUCUUGGAUGUAGCUUGGUUAGAGUGCAAAUGGAGAAUUUUCAUGCAGAGAGAACUCUUAUUAUUGAUUGGAGUGGAAGGAACUAUUUGUUCAGAGGAAACAUGCCAAUAAAUGGCUCACAGUUUGUCUACACUGAACUCAUUUCAACUCUGCGGAAAGUGGCUUUACACCAGAAGAACCUUACGCUACCAGAGAAAUUUUAUCUAACAGAUAUCAGGUGAUGUAAUUUUUAUAGCUAAGGUAUACAGUGUAACAUUAAAGCAAAGGUGACAUCUUAGUGAAAGGGGCACAUACAGAAAGUUCUGUUGUGUGUGUGUGUGUGUGUGUGUGUGUGGGGGGGGGGGUAUCUAACACACAUUAUCCAAAAAACAUGUCUGUACAAUCUAAAGUCAGUCUAUGCAAUAUCAUUUUGGCGUUAUAUAGCCAGAAUUUCACCCACAGUUGUUCAUGUAUGUUAUAUUGGACACCUUCUAGCCUUUAAGUGCUCAAGAUUAUAGCAUGUAGAGCUUCUUUUAAACAUAAUGUUUCAAUUAGCCAAUCUGUUAGUCAUUUUUAUCAGCAACUCUCUACUAGACUGUGGUGUAGCAAUGCUGAAAUGAUACUAGCUAGAUGUAGUAUAGAUGGUACGGUUAGUUCCUCCUGAGACUUGUCAUAAAUAAAGAUUAUAUUACCGGGUAUAUUAUAUAUAUAGACUUUUGUUACACUUACAGAGUUACAGCAUCUGGUGGUAUAUUUUAUCCACUUGCUGUGGAAACUCUCAGUCUAUUGACACCGUACAGUCUCAACAUCUUAUGCUCUAUAGCUUCAAUAAUUUCUGCAAUGAGUUACGUGACAUUUUCAAAGCCUUUUAACAACUUAUUACAACAAUUGUCUGAAAUUAUGAUCAUAUAAUGCUAGAUUGGUUUUACAACGUUUGAAUGUAGAUAUAGAGGAUGUACGUAGUUGGGACAUGCUUACUUGAGUUGUUGGGGAUGUUGGAUGCGGAGCGUUCAUGUAUGAAAUU